rnacentral:rRNA from 1 species
UACGGAGGGUGCAAGCGUUAUCCGGAUUCACUGGGUUUAAAGGGUGCGUAGGAGGGCAGGUAAGUCAGUGGUGAAAUCCCCGAGCUUAACUUGGGAACUGCCGUUGAUACUAUCUGUCUUGAAUAUUGUGGAGGUGAGCGGAAUAUGUCAUGUAGCGGUGAAAUGCUUAGAUAUGUCAUAGAACACCAAUUGCGAAGGCAGCUCGCUACACAUAUAUUGACUCUGAGGCACGAAAGCGUGGGGAUCAAACAGG